CCUACGGGAGGCAGCAGUAGGGAAUUUUGCGCCAUGGGCGAAAGCCUGACGCAGCAACGCCGCGUGAUCGAGACGCCCUUCGGGGUGUAAAGAUCUGUCAGUGGGGACGAAACUUGACGGUACCCACCGAGGAAACACCCGCCAAGUCCGUGCCAGCAGCCGAGGUAAUACGGGGGGUGCAAGCGUUGUCCGGAAUCAAUGGGCGGAAAGAGUUCGUAGGCGGCACGUAAAGUCUGAUGUUAAAGGCAGAGGCUCAACUUAUUUAGGGCAGUGGAAACUGGCGAGCUAGAGUGCAGUAGAGGUAAAGGGAAUUCCUGGUGUAGCGGUGAAAUGCGUAGAUAUCAGGAAGAACAUCGGUGGCGAAGGCGCUUUACUGGGCUGUAAUUGACGCUGAGGAACGAAAGCCAGGGUAGCAAAUGGGAUUAGAUACCCUUGUAGUC
rnacentral:rRNA from 1 species